rnacentral:lncRNA from 1 species
UACUCUAUGGUGUGACAACUGACAUUGACAAUAAUACUACAAUUUUAAUUUUUAAUUCCAAUUAAAAUUUCUCUAUAUCUAUAAAUUAUAAAUAUCAAAUAAAAUUUUAAACGACCAUGAAGUGGAAUAAAUACUUUUAUCGUCAAUGAUGAUGACGUAGGUAGCAUCAUUUUCAGCACAUGAAAACCCUUGCAAGUUAUUCUCGAAUGCAAUAGGAUUAAAACGAAUUGUUCUAAUGGAAUACCUAAUAGGUAGUUUGGACCGUAGUGGCUUUAGAAGAUUGCAGGCAUCAAGGGUUCUACAGGGUUCUACUUACAUAUAAGUAAUUAUAGCAUAUGCAACCAUGUAUGGAUGGUGGAGGUGCAUAUUUAAUUUGAAAUUCACCCAGCAUAAUUAUAACACCAACUAGACUGAAUAUUUGGAAUACUUUCAAAAAACUCCUUAUAAAAUAUAUUAUUUUGGAGAAACUAAGAGAAAGAUGAGUUUUAUACAUACUUGCAGACUAAGGAUUACUCAUGAAAGCCUUUUUAGUUAAAAAUUUUCGUUGGGUUUUUAGAUUAAAGCCAGUUAAGCAGGAUGUACUUAUUGUGUGGUUACAUUACAUGAUUGUCUAAUAAUAAAAGGAUAAACUUUUUAAA